rnacentral:misc_RNA from 1 species
GAAAUGCGAUAAGUAAUGUGAACUGCAGAAUUCAGUGAAUCAUCGAAUCUUUGAACGCACCUUGCGCUUCUUGGUAUUCCUUGGAGCAUGCCUGUUUGAGUAUCAUGAAAUCUUCAAAGUAAAUCUUUUGUUAACUCAAUUGGUUUCUACUUUGGUAUUGGAGGUCUUUGCAGCUUCACACCUGCUCCUCUUUGUUCAUUAGCUGGAUCUCAGUGUUAUGCUUGGUUCCACUCGGCGUGAUAAGUUAUCUAUCGCUGAGGACACUGUAAAAGGUGGCCAAGGUAAAUGCAGAUGAACCGCUUCUAAUAGUCCAUUGACUUGGACAAUACUUUUAUGAUCUGAUCUCAAAUCAGGUAGGACUACCCGCUGAACUUAAGC